AAUAGCUGCAUUAAAGGACUUACAGAAAGAACAUCACAGGAGGUUUGAGAACGCAAUGAGAGAACGUUGUGAAAGAGCAUAAAAUAUGAAGCACUGACCUAGUAUCUGCAAAGCUGAGACUUGUCAUCUCUGUCAGAGAGAGAAACAAAACUGUCACUGUGGAAUCAGAUUUCAUGCUGGGAUAAUAGGCUCUCUGAAAAUUCUAGAACUGAGAAGUGCCCAGUUCUUCCUCCUUUGAGGAAAAUUUUAGCCUUGACUGACAUGUCCAUCUGCUGA
rnacentral:lncRNA from 1 species